GAUGAACGCUGGCGGCGUGCCUAAUACAUGCAAGUCGAGCGAACAGACGAGGAGCUUGCUCCUCUGACGUUAGCGGCGGACGGGUGAGUAACACGUGGAUAACCUACCUAUAAGACUGGGAUAACUUCGGGAAACCGGAGCUAAUACCGGAUAAUAUAUUGAACCGCAUGGUUCAAUAGUGAAAGACGGUUUUGCCGUCACUUAUAGAUGGAUCCGCGCCGCAUUAGCUAGUUGGUAAGGUAACGGCUUACCAAGGCAACGAUGCGUAGCCGACCUGAGAGGGUGAUCGGCCACACUGGAACUGAGACACGGUCCAGACUCCUACGGGAGGCAGCAGUAGGGAAUCUUCCGCAAUGGGCGAAAGCCUGACGGAGCAACGCCGCGUGAGUGAUGAAGGUCUUCGGAUCGUAAAACUCUGUUAUUAGGAAAGAACAAAUGUGUAAGUAACUAUGCACGUCUUGACGGUACCUAAUCAGAAAGCCACGGCUAACUACGUG
rnacentral:rRNA from 1 species